GCACCCUUGGAAAUGCAAUGCUACAUCUCAAUGGGAUUUUCCAGUACAAAGAUUCUUUUCAAAUAACAUAAUUGUGGAUACACACCACUCCUACAGUGUUAGUCAUGCUGCUGAAACCCCGAAUGCUCACCCAGAGGAGUUCCUUUGCAAUGAAAGUCUAAGUGGGAUUGCACCUUUAACUGGCAUCACUCCACCUUACAGGAUCCUGAAAGCUUUCAAAUCCACCUCAAGCCCAGGCAGUGUCAAAGAAGGAGAGGAAUUGAAGAAGCAAAAAUAAAUAUUAAAGUACAUAAGAAUUAAAUAUUACCUUUUUAAAUAGCAAUUAUGCAGUUGAAAACAAGAUCAUCACACCUGUACAAGAAAAGGCAUGCAAGCCCAAAACAUCUGCUUGGAUCCACCUGCCAGGCACCUGUUUUGCUGUUUCAAUGCCAUUUGAUUGCUGGAGAUGUAGAGGCUCUUGUGAGGUAAUGAGUGAUUUUACAUUAUGCAUGAUUGAAAACAGGUGUUCUAAUGCUGCACAAUUCUAUGCAUGAAUAAUUCAGUUUGUUUAGAGCAAGAUCUUUAAAAGAAGUACUGCAUGGGCUUUAUUAUUUCUAUAAACAUGAAGGUUAUUUUUUUUAAUGUAUGACGAUUGUUCCUUUGCAGCCAGCUUGUUUAUGGCAAUUUUUGUGUAAUUUUAUGGAUGAGGAAUAAUAUCCUGAAAGGUAAAAUUGAUCACACUUAAAAUAUGUAAGAAGUAAAAUUGAAAGGUCUGUUAGCAAGAGGAAAACAGUAUUAAAAUUCAAUGUUCUAAGUAAAAAU
rnacentral:lncRNA from 1 species